ACUGUACGGGAGGCAGCAGUGGGGAAUUUUGGACAAUGGGCGAAAGCCUGAUCCAGCAAUGCCGCGUGUGUGAUGAAGGCCUUCGGGUUGUAAAGCACUUUUGGCGGGAACGAAAAGGACUGUGCCAAUACCAUGGUUCGAUGACGGUACCCGCAGAAUAAGCACCGGCUAACUACGUGCCAGCAGCCGCGGUAAUCAGU
rnacentral:rRNA from 1 species